AGAAGACUACGUCACAUACGCAGAGAUUGAGCCAAUUCAACCAGAAGCAUGCGUCAACCUCUCUGUUAUUAGAAGAGAUGAACAAGAGAACAGAGCAUGUGCUACCAUCUAUUCAGAGGUCCUGGUCGGAGAAGGAGCACAAGCUGGACCACUCCAUUCUCCAGAGUAGAAUCACUUAUCAAGAUCAUGAAGAGAACACCCAUCUCAUCAUACCUGCAAUGAAAUGAUCACAUCCAUUACUGCUUUUGAUGUAUGAAAUUUUAGAUAAGGUAUGUAUUGUAACCUGAACGUAUUUAUUUCGG
rnacentral:lncRNA from 1 species